CGCGACCGGGGCCGUAUUAGUGAUGCACUGUGCGAGGCAUUUUCUCGCAUUUCCUGUUUGUGAGCAGAAACAAUGGUUCGGAGUCGCAGCCGGUCGCCAGAGAGACGGAGAGGUGAGUGUGAUGGCGACCUCUCAUGCAGAGGAGAUUGUGAUUAGGAAGGGGGAGAGGGAGGGAGAGAGAGUGCAGGUGGAAUCGCGGCCGCCAUGGCUGGACACUGCAUGUGAUGGAGUUUCCAAUUAAACUGACACAGUAACAUGUUAUCAGAGGGUUUAGGUAAAUAUAAUUAUGGUACAAUCCUUAAUACAAAUAAAUAACGAGGAACCAAUCGAAAUAGGGAUUGAUCUGGGAUCUGAUUGUAUAAAUUCUAUAAUGGAUUUAAAUUAUUUAGACUUUUUUUUUUAUUUUAUUUUUUUUAUUAUUAGGCCUAUGACAAGUGACCGGCUUUUAACCACCUAUGUAAAGCAGCUUGGUAAGGUAAAGAAUUACUAGUGGUUACGAUGCCAGGAGCACCUUAACAAUGGCUUGUCCCCUUACCUGCAUCACUACUGGGCUAAAAUGGUCCGGUGACAUGCUUCUGCAGAAGCCGCCACUGUUGCCAUCCGUUGGGUGAGGGUGUCAGCUGACUGCGCUCGGUCAAUGGCUGUCUAGUUCACUGCUGGCCUAUAACACCAUAAUGUGCUGCGCUUCAAAGCAAAAUGCACAUAUGGACUCCAUUUCAAAUCAUUUAACUUUGCAUUGAUUCAGUGCUUUUCUAUGGGGGUUUAGAAGACGAUGGACAUCUUCAUGUAAAGCAUAAGGACGUCCAGUGUAAUUUCAGAAAAUUUAACUCCAGGAAGCCACAAGAAUCAGUGUUAACCCUGCAAUGAAAACAUUGCAGUUUUGCUGAAACUGCAAUGUUUUAGAUUGCAGGAUUAAGGGGACAGGGACACAGCACCAAGACAACUUAUAUAAAAUGUUUUUUGUGCUUUUUUUUUUUUUUUUUCCCCUCUGUUAAGAGCGUAGGCGUUCGCGAUCUGCUUCCAGGGAACGUGAGAGGAGGCGGCGAGAGCGCUCCAGGUCACGGGAGAGGCGUAGAAGUCGCUCACGUUCCCCACACAGACGUCGUUCAAGGUAAACAAGUUAUUUACAUAAUGCAGUCAAAGGAAAACUCCAGACACACUCAAGUUGUGCAAAAGAAAAAUAUUAAUCCUGAGUGAUACAAAAACCACCCAACACUUCUUUUACAAGUUAGUAGUGUUGUAAUGCUUAUAGGAACACUAUAGCCACCAAAACAACUAUAGCUUAAUGAAGCAGUUUUUGUGUUUAGAACAUGCCUCUGAAGUUUCACUGCUCAAUUCCCUUCCAUUUAGGAAUUAACUCACUUUUGUUUUCUGUUUAUGCAGCCAUAACCACUUCUCCUUUGGUUAUGACUGACACAGCCUGCAUGAAAAUAAAAUGGUUUCAUUUUCAAUCAGGUGUAACUUAAAGUUUUUAAUCUUCUGCUUUGUAAAUUGAACUUGAAUUACAUCCAGGAAGAUCCUGCAGUUUCUAGCCAGGUAUUAACAGAGAAAGAGAUAAGAAAUUAUAAAUUAAACAGAUUUUGUAAUAGUGUAAAGUUAGUCGCUCUUUACAGGAAGGCUGUGUAAGUCACAUGCAUUGAGGUGUGCCUUACGUUGCAUAAACAAAGUGAUUUAACCCAUAAGUGGCAGGGAACUGACUAGUAAGACUGCAGGUGCAUGAUCUCUGCAACAAAACUGCUCUAUUAAGUUAAUGGUGUUUUGCUGACUAUAGUGUUCCUAGUUAUAGUUAUCCUAGUUGGUAGUUUUAAUCCAUAAAAUCCACUUUUCUACAUCUUUUCUCUUUGUGUUAAAAUGUUGGUUACAUGUGAUUCCAUGACUUUUUGGGAGUUCAAGUUCACUUUUUUUUUUUUUUUUUUUUAUUCUACAAAAGAAAACCAUACAACUGAAAAUGUAACCCUUUCUGUGCCCAUAAAAGUUUGCUUAUGUGAUAUCAGUAGUGAGAGCACAUCAAAAGUCUGUAACAGUAUAUGAUUACAAAUUGUUAAUGCCAUUUUCUUACGUUGACUGAAGCCACCACAAAAAUCUAGAUUGUCUGUCUGUUCCUCUCCCACGAACAUCUCUAAUGCUUGUAAUAUGUGGAUUUCAGGUCUCCCCGCAGGCCCAGGUCUUCCUCACUAUCCCCUUUAAGACUUAAGGAUAGGCGUGAUGACGAAAAGAAGGAACUUAAAGAAGGCAAAGGGGCAACCAAGGAACGGGAAAUGACUGGUAGGCUGCUCUUACUUUAUAAAUGCAUACAGCAUCUGUCCUCCCUGAAAAAUGAG